GAUGAACGCUGGCGGCGUGCUUAACACAUGCAAGUCGAACGAUGAAAGCGGGAGCUUGCUCCUGCUGGAUUAGUGGCGAACGGGUGAGUAACACGUGAGUAACCUGCCCUUGACUCUGGGAUAAGCGUUGGAAACGACGUCUAAUACCGGAUACGACCUUCGGAGGCAUCUCCUGGGGGUGGAAAGAAUUUCGGUCAAGGAUGGACUCGCGGCCUAUCAGCUAGUUGGUGAGGUAAUGGCUCACCAAGGCGACGACGGGUAGCCGGCCUGAGAGGGUGACCGGCCACACUGGGACUGAGACACGGCCCAGACUCCUACGGGAGGCAGCAGUGGGGAAUAUUGCACAAUGGGCGCAAGCCUGAUGCAGCAACGCCGCGUGAGGGACGACGGCCUUCGGGUUGUAAACCUCUUUUAGUAGGGAAGAAGCGAAGUGACGGUACCUGCAGAAAAGCACCGGCUAACUACGUGCCAGC
rnacentral:rRNA from 1 species